UACAGAGGGGGCAAGCGUUGUUCGGAAUUACUGGGCGUAAAGGGCGCGUAGGCGGCCUUCUAAGUCGAACGUGAAAUCCCCGGGCUCAACCCGGGAACUGCGUCCGAUACUGGAAGGCUUGAAUCCGGGAGAGGGAUGUGGAAUUCCAGGUGUAGCGGUGAAAUGCGUAGAUAUCUGGAAGGAACACCGGUGGCGAAGGCGACAUCCUGGACCGGUAUUGACGCUGAGGCGCGAAAGCCAGGGGAGCAAAGCGGGAUUAGAUGACCCU
rnacentral:rRNA from 1 species